CCAGCAGCAAGCGCCUCCCUGUACUGGAUUUCACACCCACCUCCCUCCGCCUCCGCGCACCACCAAACCCUAGAUCUCGCACCGGCGGCGGCAGCAGCAGCAGCCAUGGCCAAGCCCUGGGGCGGCGUCGGCGCGUGGGCGCUGGACGCCGAGCGCGCCGAGGAGGAGGAGCGCGAGCGCGCCGCGGCCGUCCCGGCGCCCGUGCCCGCCGGCGGCGCCGCCAGCUUCCCCAGCCUCGCGGAGGCGGCCGCCGCGGGCGGCGGGGGCAAGUCCAAGAAGAAGAGCAAGGGCACCACCCUGUCGCUCUCCGAGUUCACCACCUACGGCGCGGCAGCGGCGCAGCGCCGCGCCGCUCCCGUGGAGCCCAGGGGCCUCACCCCUAACGAGAUGAUGAUGCUGCCCACGGGGCCCCGGGAGCGCUCCGACGAGGAGCUCGACCGCUCCCGCGGCUUCCGCUCCUACGGCGGCCUCGGGGGAGGCGAGCGCCGCGGCUUCGACGACGAGGGCCGCCGCGGGAGCAGGAGCUCGGAUCUCGACAUGCCCUCCCGCGCCGACGAGGUGGACGACUUGGGGGGCCACUAAGAAGUUCACCCCGGCUGCCACCGACUCCGGCCGCCGCGACAGGUUCGGCGGGCCGUCCCCGCUCGGCCGCGCGGAUGACAUUGACGACUGGUCGCGCGACAAGAAGCCGCUCCCGUCGCGCUACCCCAGCCUCGGUUCCGGUGGCGCCGGCGGCGGAUUCCGCAGCUCGUCCGGCUUCCGCGACUCACCGGGCUUCCGUGACUCACCGGCUUCCUCUGAUUCCGACCGUUGGGUCCGUGGAGCCACCCCUAUGCCCCACAACGGCGAGGGGGCGGGGGAGAGGCCGCGCAUCGUUCUCAAUCCUCCGAAACGUGAUCCUGCAGCUACAUCUACGCCACCUGCCGAGGUGGCACGCAACCGGCCAAGCCCAUUUGGGGCCGCAAGGCCCCGGGAGGAUGUGCUGGCCGAGAAGGGAGUUGAUUGGAGGAAGUUCGAGAGUGAGAUUGAGCAGAAGACCAGUCGGCCUACCAGCUCGCACUCCAGCAGGCCAAAUAGUGCGCAUUCCUCCCGCCCUGGGAGCCCUGGGUCCCAGGUUUCAGCGGUUGGAAGUGAGGGAGCGCCCAGGGCAAGGCCAAAGGUUAACCCUUUCGGUGAUGCCAAGCCAAGGGAAGUUGUUUUGCAGGAGAAAGGGAAAGAUUGGAGGAAGAUUGACCUUGAGCUGGAGCAUCGUGCUGUAAAUAGGCCAGAGUCCGAUGACGAAAGAAAUUUGAAAGAAGAAAUCAACCUUAUGAAGGUGGAUCUGAAAGAAAUCGAGGGAAAGAUAAGUGAUGGUUCUGACCAAGCCUCGUUAGAUGCCAAAAAUUUGUCUGAGAAGAUAUCUCAGUUGGAAAAUCAACUCGAGCAGCUUACAAGGGAGUUGGAUGACAAGAUUCGAUUUGGGCAAAGACCGCGUUCUGGUGCCGGCAGGGUUAUAGCGCAUCCACCAACUGGUUUAGUGGAGGAACCACAAGCUACAGUUGUGGACAGACCGUGUUCUCGUGGUAUGGAACCACCACCCCCAAGGGCGGAAGAAAGAUGGGGAUUUCAAGCAAGCAGAGAAAGGGGCUCUUUUGGUGGAAGCAGAAGUUCAGAUAGGCCAGUGACGAGGCAGCGAUGGUGAAAUUGGGACUCCGGGCAUCUGUUAAUUGUUAGGGAAACUUUUUGAUUCCCAGUCCCUUUUUGGUUUUGAAAAGGAUACGCAGAAUAAGUAAUUUUGUGUUCGUCAUGUUUGUUUGGUCUAGAAGAUUGGAGAGGAUGGAGAUAACUCCACAUGAAGUUAUUGAUUGUCACCUCUGUAUGCUGUAGAAUGUUUUUCAUUUCCCUUUUUUGCAAUCGUCCAUGUCAAAACAAGACCUGGCAACUUGCGAUACUAACUGUUAUUCAUGCCUACUGAAUUCAAGUUCAGCUUUUGUCGCAAGUUGUUUAUUUGGGCAAGGUGGAAUGGAGAUCUUGAAGUUAAUCUUUUGUACCAGUACAUCUGUACAUGUGUUAUAUAUCUUCUUUAUUU